rnacentral:SRP_RNA from 1 species
GGUGACUCGAGUCGAGUCGAGUCAUUUUUCGUCUUGAACUCGAGUCGAGUCGCUGAAAAUAGCGACUGGAGUCCGAUUCAAUGACUCGAAUCGACCUACAGUAUGUGGAUCGGGUGCCCACACUAAGUUGGGCGUCAAUAUGGUGAACUGAGGGGAACCUUCGUCCACCAGGUUGAAUAAAGAGGAACGAACCGGGCCGGCAUGGAAACAUAGCAGACAAAAGUUCCCGCGUCAAACAGUGGUGCGAUAGCACUUGUGAAUAGGAGGCAUGCGACAGCCCGGUCAAGAUAGUUGAACCCGCUACCUU